GUGCUCACUUCAGCAGCACAUAUACUAAGAAAUUGGAACGAUACAGAGAAGAUUAGCAUGACCCCUGCACAAGGAUGGCAUGCAAAUUCGUCAGUCGGUCCAUAGUUUU
rfam:Tupaia chinensis contig237819, whole genome shotgun sequence.